GCCUAGCCCAGAUAGUAGCGACAUCCUUUUUGUUUUCCUAUACAAUUUUUGUUUUAAGUAUAAGGAAAAACAAAAAGAUAUAGCGGAUAGCUGGAAAUAGC
rnacentral:sRNA from 1 species